rnacentral:lncRNA from 13 species
AUGUUUUUUUAUGAGGCCCGAGUUCCAUUGGGUUGUAAUUCUGAGAAGACUAAGAAAACCGAUCAACACUCAAGCAUUUCUAACGGACAAUGUGGCAAUGAUGAAGGCAGAAAUGCUAUCAACAUGAGUGACAACAACAUAAGGUGGUAUGACCACAAUUUACAUUGAAGACCUCACGGGCAUGACAGCUAUGCAGGCCUAGAACUAUAUUAUCUCGGCAAGUGUGGGGGUGGAGGACAAACUGGCACAUUGACUGAUCAGAGAAGAAUGAUUCCCCCUUGUCACCGAGACCUACAAGCAUGCAGGGAUGACUGGCUGAGAAUUAAGUGUAACUGAACAGACUCUCAGGGGAGGUGCUGCUCAUUCCUUUGAAUAAAGAGGAGCAUUGUGCACCAAACAGUGCUCGAGGAGGAGCAGAAUGAUGCUAGACCAGCAACCUAAAACAGCCUACAAAAUAGUUCACAAAUGAUAGCAACAUAUUAUUAAGAAUCUUCAUAACAGUGGCCUAUAAGAUUAUGGUGCAAUAUUACAGUGUCAUCAUUCUUGAUUUAUUGAUUUUAAUUCACCACACAUUACUAGGCUAUACGCUAUAAAACGGUAGUUACAACAGCCCCAUCCAGUGGUACAGUAUCAAAGCUAUUGACAAAUAACAGUCGUCUCUCAAAACUCAUAUACAAUUUAAUAUAAAGUUUGAGUCAAUUGCCUUUGGAUUGCUGAAAACACAAGUAGGUGUUUAUAUGUUCAUCGCAGAUUAUAAGUGAUGUUUUUCUCAGGUGUCGUCUAAUAAGAAGAUAUUUGUGGGUGUUCAUCACACAUAUGGAGAUGGAAUUUACUUUCAAAUAGACUGACGAUAAAGGCUAUGGGUGGAUCGGUUAGGCGGGCUUACUGUAAGACAAAACAUAUAUAUUUUCUAAAAUGUUACACCCUGCCCUUCCCACCUGUCCUUUUCUCACACGAGAAAGUUAGCUGACAGUCAAGUUGCAUGUUGUUUGACAAUAUCUCAUUAAGUCAAAAUAAAUAUUAAACAUCAUCAAACAAUUGCAAUGAUAGAUAACUACAUGCUAACGUUACAAUGUUAGACACAUUUUUUUAUACACUUACCUCCUCAACAGUCAGCGGCAUGCAUAUCCUGUACUCCUUAAGCAACAUCUUCUUUGAUAAGUCUCUUCUUCUUCUUUUUUUUUUACAAUGUAGCCUGUCUAACAAUUUAUGACCGCCAAAGCUUUAGCUAAUAAAAACGCAGAAUUUGGAAAUGCAUGUGGAUUGCCUUGAAAACAGAUGACCACUGUGAGUUGUCUUGUCACAUCGGAACGAAUGGAAUCUUAACUAGGAAUUUCUCACGAGCAGCGUUCAAAAACUAGCCGCUCCUUUUUUAUUUGGGACAGGACGUGGGUAAAAGAAAAGCACAAAACAGGACCUAACUAGGAUAUGCCCUCACCGAAAUACAUGAGAUUCGAUUGAAAAUCUGCCAACCAGAUGUUGCUUUCAGGAGUGGGCGGUAACAAAACGGUGAAAUUGCUUAAACUGCAGCUUUCUCAAACCAAAACAAACAAAAAAACGAGGUUUAUCUAUAUAAAAAAAGAAGCGAGGGUCAAGUCUGUCCUUGCUUAGGCUGCUAGGCGAAAAUGUGCUGUUCCUCACGCUUCUGUGUUCCUACACAUACCAGUCUCCUUUAAUAAUGCUUAGCUUUAUGUUGCGGUGUCCUCUCUUAGGAUGUGAAAAAAUGUAAGCAAAUGCUACGGGCUCUCCCUUUGACUGUCGUUUCUCACUCAAUGCAACGACGAGCUACUUUGUCGCUGCCACGGAAACAUGCAGCCAACACAAACCACGCGGACAGGAAACAAGGAGCGUGAAAGCAAGCACAUCAGAGUUCACUCUCCCUUGCAUUGUCUCGGGCUCUAUUCAACCCUGAACUAUUCUCUUGCCUAGAAAGUGCAUGCAACCACGUCAAGAGACUGGGCUACAUGAGUCGACUAUGCAGCCUGAGUAGCAUGUGUUAUUUUACCUAGGCCUAAAUAGCGGUUUUUGAUUACUCUUGUGUCCAUCAUCCAUAGACUGCCUGUUCAUAGCUCUUUGCCCUGACUUGGCCAUAACAGUGUUAUAGGCCUUAUGACAGAGAUGUAGGCACACAAAACAAAUACAGAUCAAAUAAAAUGCUUUUCUUAAAAACCUAGGUUUAAUUGGAAUUAAAUAAAUAAUAAUAACCGAU